CACGUUAUCAUUCUUGUUAGUUCUAAGUGAAUUCCCUCGGUAUGAUAAUUUGUUCAUCAGUUUGUUCCCCGUUUCUUCUCUAGCCUGAGCCUGACACACUAUUCUAGCUAGACAUGGGUGUGGCUCGUAACACCUGAUGACCAAACGGAUCUACGACACCAUCGAAUCUCAAACUUUAACUACCAAAACUAUUGUUUUUCAUCCUCUAGUCCCUUUUAGAAUUACUAAACGUCCUUUUUUGGGCCGAGAUUUCCAGGAACGCUUUCUCGGGGUUUGUGUGCAUGUAUUUCAAACCAUACAGACCUAAAAAUUAGAAGUCAUUCCAUCUUUAUUCCCGUAGAGCCUUCCAGCAGUUCCUAAACCGCUCCAGUCGGAGCAUGUUAUCAUUCUUGUUUGUUCUGAGUGAAUUCCCUCGGUAUGAUAAUUCUAUCAUCAGUUUGUUCCCCGUUUCUUCUCUAGCCUGAGCCUGGCAAACUAUUCNNNNNNNNNNNNNNNNNNNNNNNNNNNNNNNNNNNNNNNNNNNNNNNNNNNNNNNNNNNNNNNNNNNNNNNNNNNNNNNNNNNNNNNNNNNNNNNNNNNNNNNNNNNNNNNNNNNNNNNNNNNNNNNNNNNNNNNNCUAAACCGCUCUAGUCGGAGCACGUUAUCAUUCUUGUUAGUUCUGAGUGAAUUCCCUCGGUAUGAUAAUUCUUUCAUCAGUUUGUUCCCUGUUUCUUCUCUAGCCUGAGCCUGACACACUAUUCUAGCUAGACAUGGGUGUGGCUCGUAACACCUAAUGACCAAACGGAUCGACGGCACCAUCGAAUCUCAAACUUUAACUGCCAAAACUAUUGUUUUUCAUCCUGUUGUCCCAUUUAGAAUUACUAAACGUCCUUUUUUGGGCCGAGAUUUAGAGGAACGCUUUCUCGGGGUUUGUGUGCAAGUAUUUCAAACCAUACGGACCUAAAAAUUAGAAGUCAUUCCAUCUUUAUUCCCCUAGAGCCUUCCAGCAGUUCCUAAACCGCUCAAGUCAGAGCAUGUUAUCAUUCUUGUUAGUUCUGAGUGAAUUCCCUCGGUAUGAUAAUUCUUUCAUCAGUUUGUUCCCUGUUUCUUCUCUAGCCUGAGCCUGACACACUAUUCUAGCUAGACAUGGGUGUGGCUCGUAACACCUGAUGACCAAACGGAUCUACGACACCAUUGAAUCUCAAACUUUAACUACCAAAACUAUUAUUUUUCAUCCUGUAGUCCCUUUUAGAAUUACUAAACGUCCUUUUUUGGGCCGAGAUUUCCAAGAACGCUUUCUCGUGGUUUGUGUGCAAGUAUUUCAAACCAUACAGACCUAAAAAUUAGAAGUCAUUCCAUCUUUAUGCCCGUAGAGCCUUCCAGCAGUUCCUAAACCGCUCCAGUCGGAGCACGUUAUCAUUCUUAUUAGUUCUGAGUGAAUUCCCUCAGUAUGAUAAUUCUUUCAUAAGUUUGUUCCCCAUUUCUUCUCUAGCCUGAGCCUGGCACACUAUUCUAGCUAGACAUGGGUGUGGCUCAUAACACUUGUUGACUAAAUGGAUCGACGGCACCAUCGAAUCUCAAACUUUAACUGCCAAAACUAUUGUUUUUCAUCCUGUAGUCCCAUUUAGAAUUAUUAAACGUCCUUUUUUGGGCCGAUAUUUAGAGUAAUGCUUUCUCGGGGUUUGUCUGCAAGUAUUUCAAACCAUACGGACCUAAAAAUUAGAAGUCAUUCCAUCUUUAUUCCCCUAGAGCCUUCCAGCAGUUCCUAAACCGCUCUAGUCGGAGCACGUUAUCAUUCUUGUUAGUUCUGAGUGAAUUCCCUCAGUAUGAUAAUUCUUUCAUCUGUUUGUUCCCCGUUUCUUCUCUAGCCUGAGCCUGACACACUAUUCAAGCUAGACAUGGAUGUGGCUCGUAACACCUGAUGACCAAACGGAUCUACGGCACCAUCGAAUCCCAAACUUUAACUGCCAAAACUAUUGUUUUUCAUCCUGUAGUCCCUUUUAGAAUUACUAAACGUCCUUUUUUGGGCCGAGAUUUCCAGGAAUGCUUUCUCGGGGUUUGUGUGCAAGUAUUUCAAACCAUACAAAGCUAGAAAUUAGAAGUCAUUCCAUCUUUAUUAUCGUAGAGCCUUCCAGCAGUUCCUAAACCGGUCUAGUCGGAGCACGUUAUCAUUCUAGUUAGUUCUGAGUGAAUUCCCUCGGUAUGAUAAUUCUUUCAUCAGUUUGUUCCCCGUUUCUUCUCUAGCCUGAGCCUGACAAACUAUUCUAGCUAGACAUGCGUGUGGCUCGUAACACCUGAUGACCAAACGGAUCUAUAGCACCAUCGAAUCUCAAACUUUAACUGCCAAAACUAUUGUUUUCAUCCUGUAGUCCCUUUUAGAAUUACUAAACUUCCUUUUUUGGGCCGAGAUUUAGAGGAACGCUUUCUGGGGUUUGUGUGCAAGUAUUUCAAACCAUACAGACCUAAAAAUUAGAAGUCAUUCCAUCUUUAUUCCCCUAGAGCCUUCCAGCAGUUCCUAAACCGCUCUAGUCGGAGCACGUUAUCAUUAUUGUUAGUUCUGAGUGAAUUCCCUCGGUAUGAUAAUUCUUUCAUCAGUUUGUUCCCUGUUUCUUCUCUAUCCUGAGCCUGACACACUAUUCUAGCUAGACAUGGGUGUGGCUCGUAACACCUGAUGACUAAAUGGAUCGACGGCACCAUCGAAUCUCAAACUUUAACUGCCAAAACUAUUGUUUUUCAUCCUGUAGUCCCAUUUAGAAUUAGUAAACGUCCUUUUUUGGGCCGAGAUUUAGAGGAACGCUUUCUCGGGGUUUGUGUGCAAGUAUUUCAAACCAUACGGACCUAAAAAUUAGAAGUCAUUCCAUCUUUAUUCCCCUAGUCAUCAGGUAUACACUCAAGUCGGAGCACGUUAUCAUUCUUGUUAGUUCUGAGUGAAUUCCCUCGGUAUGAUAAUUCUUUCAUAAAUUUGUUCCCCGUUUCUUAUAUGGCCUGAGCCUGACACACUAUUCUAGCUAGACAUGGGUGUGGCUCGUAACACCUGAUGACCAAACGGAUCUACGGCACCAUCAAAUCUCAAACUUUAACUGCCAAAACUAUUCUUUUUCAUUCUGUAGUCCCUUCUAGAAUUACUAAACGUCCUUUUUUGGGCCGAGAUUUCCAGGAACGCUUUCUCGGGGUUUGUGUGCAUGUAUUUCAAACCAUACAGACCUAAAAAUUAUAAGUCAUUCCAUCUUUAUUCCCGUAGAGCCUUCCAGUAGUUCCUAAACCGCUCCAGUCGGAGCAUGUUAUCAUUCUUGUUAGUUCUAAGUGAAUUCCCUCGGUAUGAUAAUUCUUUCAUCAGUUUGUUCCCCGUUUCUUCUCUAGCCUGAGCCUGGCACACUAGUCUAGCUAGACAUGGGUGUGGCUCGUAACACCCGAUGACUAAAUGGAUCGACGGCACCAUCGAAUCUCAAACUUUAACUGCCAAAACUAUUGUUUUUCAUCCUGUAGUCCCAUUUAGAAUUACUAAACGUCCUUUUUUGGGCCGAGAUUUAGAGGAACGCUUUCUCGUGGUUUGUGUGCAAGAAUUUCAAACCAUACGGACCUAAAAAUUAGAAGUCAUUCCAUCUUUAUUCCCCUAGAGCCUUCCAGUAGUUCCUAAACCGCUCUAGUCGGAGCACGUUAUCAUUCUUGUUAGUUCUGAGAGAAUUCCCUCGGUAUGAUAAUUCUUUUAUCAGUUUGUUCCCCGUUUCUUCUCUAGCCUGAGCCCGACACACUAUUCUAGCUAGACAUGGGUGUGGCUCGUAACACCUGAUGACCAAACGGAUCUACGGCACCAUCGAAUCUCAAACUUUAACUGCCAAAACUAUUGUUUUUCAUCCUGUAGUCCCUUUUAGAAUUACUAAAUGUCCUUUUUUGGGCCGAGAUUUCCAGGAACGCUUUCUCAGGGUUUGUGUGCAAGUAAUUCAAACCAUACGGACCUAAAAAUUAGAAGUCAUUCCAUCUUUAUUCCCCUAGAGCCUUCCAGCAGUUCCUAAACCGCUCAAGUCAGUGCACGUUAUCAUUCUUGUUAGUUCUAAGUGAAUUCCCUCGGUAUGAUAAUUUGUUCAUCAGUUUGUUCCCCGUUUCUUCUCUAGCCUGAGCCUGACACACUAUUCUAGCUAGACAUGGGUGUGGCUCGUAACACCUGAUGACCAAACGGAUCUACGACACCAUCGAAUCUCAAACUUUAACUACCAAAACUAUUGUUUUUCAUCCUCUAGUCCCUUUUAGAAUUACUAAACGUCCUUUUUUGGGCCGAGAUUUCCAGGAACGCUUUCUCGGGGUUUGUGUGCAUGUAUUUCAAACCAUACAGACCUAAAAAUUAGAAGUCAUUCCAUCUUUAUUCCCGUAGAGCCUUCCAGCAGUUCCUAAACCGCUCCAGUCGGAGCAUGUUAUCAUUCUUGUUUGUUCUGAGUGAAUUCCCUCGGUAUGAUAAUUCUAUCAUCAGUUUGUUCCCCGUUUCUUCUCUAGCCUGAGCCUGGCAAACUAUUCUAGCUAGACAUGGGUGUGGCUCGUAACACCUGAUGACCAAACGGAUCUACGACACCAUCGAAUCUCAAACUUUAACUACCAAAACUAUUGUUUUUCAUUCUAUAGUCCCUUCUAGAAUUUCUAAACGUCCUUUUUUGGGCCGAGAUUUCCAGGAAUGCUUUCUCGGGGUUUGUGUGCAAGUAUUUCAAAUCAUACGGACCUAAAAAUUAGAAGUCAUUCCAUCUUUAUUCCCCUAGAGCCUUCCAGUAGUUCCUAAACCGCUCCAGUCGGAGCACGUUAUCAUUCUUGUUAGUU
rnacentral:lncRNA from 1 species